rnacentral:rRNA from 1 species
ACCAACAGGGAUUGCCUUAGUAACGGCGAGUGAAGCGGCAAUAGCUCAAAUUUGAAAUCUGGAGUCUUCGACUUCCGAGUUGUAAUUUGAAGAGGAUGUUUCGGUUGCGGCUUGGGCCUAAGUUCCUUGGAACAGGACGUCAUGGAGGGUGAGAAUCCCGUAUAUGGCUGCCGGCUUGCUUCUAUGUGAAACUCCUUCGAAGAGUCGAGUUGUUUGGGAAUGCAGCUCAAAAUGGGUGGUAAAUUUCAUCUAAAGCUAAAUAUUGGCGAGAGACCGAUAGCGCACAAGUAGAGUGAUCGAAAGAUGAAAAGCACUUUGAAAAGAGAGUUAAACAGUACGUGAAAUUGUUGAAAGGGAAGCGCUUGCAAUCAGACUCACUUUCAGUUGAUCAACGUUCCUUCCGGUUCGUGCACUCUGCUGUUUGUGGGCCAGCAUCAGUUAGAGCGGUGGGACAAAGGUUGCGGGAAUGUGGCUCCCUUCGGGGAGUGUUAUAGCCCGCUUCGUAAUGCCACCUGCCCUGACUGAGGUCCGCGAUUCGUCUAGGAUGCUGGCUUAAUGG